rnacentral:rRNA from 1 species
UACGUAGGGUGCAAGCGUUGUCCGGAAUUAUUGGGCGUAAAGAGCUCGUAGGCGGUCUGUCGCGUCUGCUGUGAAAACUCGGGGCUUAACCCCGGGCCUGCAGUGGGUACGGGCAGACUAGAGUGCGGUAGGGGAGACUGGAAUUCCUGGUGUAGCGGUGAAAUGCGCAGAUAUCAGGAGGAACACCGAUGGCGAAGGCAGUGGGCUGGGCCGGCACUGACGCUGAGGAGCGAAAGCUAGGGGAGCGAAUGGG